GUGUCAGCAGCCGCGGUAAGACGAACCGUGCGAACGUUAUUCGGAAUCACUGGGCUUAAAGGGCGCGUAGACGGGUCGGCGCAUCGGUCGCUGAAAGCCCCCGGCUCAACCGGGGAACGGGCGCCGAGAUGGCCGGCCUCAAGUGGAGGAGAGGGACCUGGAACUGCCGGUGGAGCGGUGAAAUGCGUUGAGAUCGGCAGGAACGCCGACGGCGAAAGCAGGGUCCUGGACUCUCACUGACGUUGAGGCGCGAAAGCCAGGGGAGCGAACGGGAUUAGAUACCCCCGUAGUCC
rnacentral:rRNA from 1 species